rnacentral:lncRNA from 1 species
CCCCCGCCGCAAGUGGAUAAUAUUAAUAGUGUAAAAAUAUGCAAGUGUUCGGUAAACAGGAAGUUGUCAAGUGAUGAAUCUGAAAACGCAUCACACGGUAUAGCUGACUUAUAUAAAUCCUGAAACCAAAUUUCAGAAAUCCUUGUAUUGUAGUUCCUGAGAAAAAUGUGACGAAAAUUUUCAACUUGGCUAUCAUGUGUAAAAUCAUACAAGUGUUCGGUAAACAGGAAGUUGUCGAGUGAUGAAUCUGAAAACGCAUCACACGGUAUAGCUGGCUUAUAUAAAUCCUGAAACCAAAUUUCAGAAAUCCUUGUAUUGUAGUUGCUGAGAAAAAUGUGACGAAAAUUUUCAACUUGGCUAUCAUGUGUAAAAUCAUACAAGUGUUCGGUAAACAGGAAGUUGUCAAGUGAUGAAUCUGAAAACGCAUCACACGGUAUGGCUAACAUAUAUAAAUGUUGAUACCAAAUUACAGAAAGGGUGGAUGUGUAGUUCCUGAGAAAAAUGUGACGAAAGUUGCAUGGGACGGACUGACGGACGGACGGACUGACGGACGGACUGACAGACAGA